AGUGAACGCUGGCGGUAGGCCUAACACAUGCAAGUCGAACGGCAGCACAGUAAGAGCUUGCUCUUACGGGUGGCGAGUGGCGGACGGGUGAGGAAUACAUCGGAAUCUACUUUUUCGUGGGGGAUAACGUAGGGAAACUUACGCUAAUACCGCAUACGACCUACGGGUGAAAGCAGGGGAUCUUCGGACCUUGCGCGAUUGAAUGAGCCGAUGUCGGAUUAGCUAGUUGGCGGGGUAAAGGCCCACCAAGGCGACGAUCCGGAGCUGGUCUGAGAGGAUGAUCAGCCACACUGGAACUGAGACACGGUCCAGACUCCUACGGGAGGCAGCAGUGGGGAAUAUUGGACAAUGGGCGCAAGCCUGAUCCAGCCAGACCGCGUGGGUGAAGAAGGCCUUCGGGUUGUAAAGCCCUUUUGUUGGGAAAGAAAAGCAGCAGGUUAAUACCCCGCUGUUCUGACGGUACCCAAAGAAUAAGCACCGGCUAACUUCGUG
rnacentral:rRNA from 1 species